rnacentral:rRNA from 1 species
GGGUUGUGAGGUUAAGCGACUAAGCGUACACGGUGGAUGCCCUGGCAGUCAGAGGCGAUGAAGGACGUGCUAAUCUGCGAAAAGCGUCGGUAAGGUGAUAUGAACCGUUAUAACCGGCGAUGUCCGAAUGGGGAAACCCAGUGUGAUUCGUCACACUAUCGUUAACUGAAUACAUAGGUUAACGAGGCGAACCGGGGGAACUGAAACAUCUAAGUACCCCGAGGAAAAGAAAUCAACCGAGAUUCCCCCAGUAGCGGCGAGCGAACGGGGAGCAGCCCAGAGUCUGAAUCAGCUUGUGUGUUAGUGGAACGGUCUGGAAAGUCCGACGGUACAGGGUGAUAGUCCCGUACACCAAAAUGCACAGGCUGUGAACUCGAAGAGUAGGGCGGGACACGUGGUAUCCUGUCUGAAUAUGGGGGGACCAUCCUCCAAGGCUAAAUACUCCUGACUGACCGAUAGUGAACCAGUACCGUGAGGGAAAGGCGAAAAGAACCCCGGCGAGGGGAGUGAAAAAGAACCUGAAACCGUGUACGUACAAGCAGUGGGAGCACCUUCGGGUGUGACUGCGUACCUUUUGUAUAAUGGGUCAGCGACUUAUAUUCUGUAGCAAGGUUAACCGUAUAGGGGAGCCGCAGGGAAACCGAGUCUUAACUGGGCGUUAAGUUGCAGGGUAUAGACCCGAAACCCGGUGAUCUAGCCAUGGGCAGGUUGAAGGUUGGGUAACACUAACUGGAGGACCGAACCGA